UACGGAGGGGGCUAGCGUUGUUCGGAAUUACUGGGCGUAAAGCGCACGUAGGCGGACCAGUUAGUUGGGGGUGAAAUCCCGGGGCUCAACCCCGGAACUGCCUCCAAAACUGCUGGUCUGGAGGUCGAGAGAGGUGAGUGGAAUUCCGAGUGUAGAGGUGAAAUUCGUAGAUAUUCGGAGGAACACCAGUGGCGAAAGGCGGCUCACUGGCGUCGAUACUGACGCUGAGGUGCGAAAGCGUGGGGAGCAAACAGG
rnacentral:rRNA from 1 species